GUCCUUGUAGCUUAAACCAAAGCAUGUCGCUGAAGACGCCAAGACGGACACCACCACUCCCAAGGAC
rnacentral:tRNA from 3 species